rnacentral:rRNA from 1 species
GUGCCAGCCGCCGCGGUAAUACCGGCAGCCCGAGUGAUGGCCGAUAUUAUUGGGCCUAAAGCGUUCGUAGCCGGCCAGACAAGUCUGUUGGGAAAUCCACGCGCUCAACGCGUGGGCGUCCAGCGGAAACUGUCUGGCUUGGGGCCGGAGGACUCGAGGGGUACGUCCGGGGUAGGAGUGAAAUCCUGUAAUCCCGCUCGGACCGCCGAUGGGGAAACCACCUCAGGAGAACGGAUCCGACAGUGAGGGACGAAAGCCAGGGUCUCGAACCGGAUUAGAUACCCCUGUAGUCC